rnacentral:rRNA from 1 species
GGCGAGUGAAGCGGGAAAAGCUCAAAUUUGAAAUCUGGCAGCCUCAGGUUGUCCGAGUUGUAAUCUAUAGAAACGUUUUCCGCGCCGGCCCAUGUACAAGUCCCUUGGAACAGGGCGUCAUAGAGGGUGAGAAUCCCGUCCUUGACACGGACCACCGGUGCUUUGUGAUACGUUUUCAACGAGUCGAGUUGUUUGGGAAUGCAGCUCAAAAUGGGUGGUAAAUUCCAUCUAAAGCUAAAUAUUGGCGAGAGACCGAUAGCGAACAAGUACCGUGAGGGAAAGAUGAAAAGCACUUUGGAAAGAGAGUUAAACAGUAUGUGAAAUUGUUGAAAGGGAAACGAUUGAAGUCAGUCGUGUCUAUUGGACUCAGCCGGUUCUGCCGGUGUACUUCCUUUAGAUGGGGUCAACAUCAGUUUUGAUCGCUGGAAAAGGGCGGGAGGAAUGUAGCACUCUCGGGUGAACUUAUAGCCUUCCGUCGUAUACAGUGGUUGGGACUGAGGAACGCAGCAUGCCUUUAUGGCCGGGGUUCGCCCACGUACAUGCUUAGGAUGUUGACAUAAUGGCUUUAAACGACCCGUCUUGAACCACGGACCAAAA